rfam:Aedes albopictus isolate Foshan contig27980, whole genome shotgun sequence.
UGUUCUGUGGCUUAGUUGGUUUAAGCGCCGGUGUAGCGAAUACGGAGUCGUGGGUUUGAAUCCCACCAGAACGC